AGAACCCUAGGCCCGUGGCGAUUGCAUAGCAAAUCCGUCUGUCUCUGUCUUGAAACCUAAGGUAGGAUGUUGAUUGGGCGUUUCAGAGGUCGUAUCGGGAAACAGAUGAUUGGCUCACUCGUUGAGCAACCAAGAAACUGAAAAAGGUUACCAAGAGGACAUUUUAUCAACAUGAGGCACUAGCUGUCUCCGAUUUGUAGAGAAAAAGCAAACUUGGAAGAAAGAACAUUGAGAAAAUGAGUUGUUGGAUUGUGCUGGUCAAUGUCCCUUGUGCAGCUUCCUCAAUUCUAUAUUCAACUUUCAAGAUGUGAAGGACAUUGUAAUUUUUUUUUUUUUGAAAUAGUAGCAGCAUUGUAAUGUAUUAUUAUUUAUUUUGUUCU